UGUUAAGCCAAGCAGAGGUCUGACCAAA
rnacentral:piRNA from 1 species